GUACUGGAUUCAGCAGUACAGGUACUAAAAUUGGAGUGAUACAAAGAUUAACAUGGUCCCUGUGCAGGGAUGACUUGAAAAUUCAUAAAAUAAUCCAUAUUUUA